GUAGCGGUGACUCAGAGCAAGCUGAAGAUAGCUUGAUGGUUACAAAAAAUGUUUAUAAAGGAAAUAUGGUUUAUGAAUAAAUCAAAUAAAUUUGGAAAAAAUACUCACUGGAAGAAAUCUUCAACAAUGAACAGAAAUUCACAGGGAGAGAAAUGAAGCUGGGUGAUGAUGCUGGAAUAUAUUUAUGAACUGGAGGAGAUGAAUGAAGGAGGCAGGGUGAUUCUGACAUACUGAGACAAUGUUAGAUGUUUCUAAGACAUGUUUGAACAUCAAAGUUAAGAAUCCCAUAAAGAGGCAGAGGAAGAUAUGGUAAAAUAAAAGUUAACCAAAAAGAAUGAGAACCACAAAAGAAGUAAGUGGAAUGAUAUUUGGAACAAGUAUGGAAAUGCUGGCAUUUGAAUGCAUAAAGUUCCUUUACUUUGUUUAAUGAUAGGGAAGAGACAGAGAUGUCCAAAUGCAGGUAGAAUUUUAGAUGUGGCCAUGGGAAGAGGACAUAAUUUCAGUAUCAGAGCCUGCAGACUACCAGGUUAACAGUUUAGAGUGGCAAGAGAGGUGGGAUAUUGAGAAAAGUAAAAAAAAGAAAUAAAAUUAUCAUUGCAGAAAGAGAGUGUAAAGUAGAGUUUACCAUUGAUAAAGGGGAACUACUAUUGAGCUUUAAGCACUUCUUUGUCUGAUUGAAAGGAGGGGAUGGACAAGGGCAAACCUGAGCUCUAGGCUCUCUUUGUUCAAAUUAGCAGAUAUAGUACUGAGGGCAUAGAACUUAAUAAAUUCAAACAAGGCUUUAGACUUACUUGCUUCGUUCCUUCCUCCUGUUAUGCAGUGGCAUUGAAACAAAAAGUUAACUGUCUUCCUGGACAUUUAACUCCCUUUGAAACCCACCACCCAAGCAGAGAUUAUGUCAAACACUGUAUUCCCAUCUCCGUAUUAUAUUUGAGUUAAUCCUGGUUGUGCUGCGGUUUAAAAAAAUUUUUUUAAAUUAAAAGAUGUAGUUAAAAAACAGAGCAUUGACAUAUUUUGAACAAAAUACAAGUUGUGCAUUGCAUCAUGAUUAUUUAUUUUUUCUUACAGGAAAUUGCCAAACAACUUUUAAAUUAUUUUCUUCUACAUCAUCUCCUACUUGACACUGAUACCAAAAGAUAUAUCUAAAUGUUUUAACUAUAAUAUUUUUAGAGCAUUACACACCCAGAGUGAUACAUUA